rnacentral:rRNA from 1 species
UACGAAGGGGGCUAGCGUUGCUCGGAAUCACUGGGCGUAAAGGGUGCGUAGGCGGAUCCUUAAGUCAGGGGUGAAAUCCCGAGGCUCAACCUCGGAACUGCCUUUGAUACUGGGGAUAUCGAGUCCGGGAGAGGUGAGUGGAACUGCGAGUGUAGAGGUGAAAUUCGUAGAUAUUCGCAAGAACACCAGUGGCGAAGGCGGCUCACUGGCCCGGUACUGACGCUGAGGUGCGAAAGCGUGGGGAGCAAACAGGG